rnacentral:rRNA from 1 species
UACAGAGGGUGCAAGCGUUACUCGGAAUUACUGGGCGUAAAGCGUGCGUAGACGGUUACAUAAGUCGGGUGUGAAAGCCCCGGGCUCAACCUGGGAAUUGCAUUCGAGACUGCGUAGCUAGGGUGCGGAAGAGGGAAGCGGAAUUUCCGGUGUAGCGGUGAAAUGCGUAGAUAUCGGGAAGAACACCCGUGGCGAAGGCGGCUCGCUGGGACGGUACUGACGCUGAGACGCGAAAGCGUGGGGAGCAAACAGG